rnacentral:tRNA from 1 species
GGGCGAUUAACUCAGUGGCUAGAGUGCUACCUUCACACGGUAGAAGUCGGUGGUUCAAGUCCACUAUCGCCCA